GUCUCCGUGGCUAAGUCGGUAGAACAUCCGACUUAGGUGCGGUACGACUCGGGUUCGAGCCCCGCUGAUGACA